AAAGUCGUAACAAGGUUUCCGUAGGUGAACCUGCGGAAGGAUCAUUACCAUAUCCAAAACUUUACCAACCCACCGUGUGAACUGUUUGUGUUGGGUGUUGCAGCCCGACCUAUAUAUAUUUACCAACCACGAUAUUUUUUUCUUGUGGCCGUCAAACCGCCGCCGGAAAGCUUCUUUGGGGUUGGUAAAUUGAAUAACCCCUUUGUAAAACCACUCUUGAAUGAAAACCUGACUUGUGGGGUUCUUUUGAUUUACAAAAAGACCACACGACUAAAACAAAACCAAUAGACAACUUACAACGGUGGAUCUCUUGGCUCGU
rnacentral:misc_RNA from 1 species